rnacentral:rRNA from 1 species
AGGACGAACGCUGGCGGCGUGCCUCAUACAUGCAAGUGGAGCGACGAACCAGGAUUUAUCCUGGGGCAAAGCCGCGAACGGGUGAGUAACACGUGGGUUACCUGCCCCGAUGAUUGGGACAACCCGAGGAAACUCGGGCUAAUACCAAAUGUGUUCUUGGUCGUGAUGACCAAGAAGAAAGGAAGCCUCGGCCUCCGCAUCGGGAUGGGCCCGCGGCCCAUUAGCUAGUUGGUGGGGUAAUGGCCUACCAAGGCGACGAUGGGUAGCUGGUCUGAGAGGACGAUCAGCCACACUGGGACUGAGACACGGCCCAGACUCCUACGGGAGGCAGCAGUGGGGAAUUUUGCGCAAUGGGGGAAACCCUGACGCAGCAACGCCGCGUGGAGGAUGAAAUCCCUUGGGAUGUAAACUCCUUUCGAUCGGGAAGAUAAUGACGGUACCGGAAGAAGAAGCCCGGCUAACUUCGCGCCAGCAGCCGC